UCCUCUGAACAGUUCCUCUGACCAGUUCCUCUGAACAGUUCCUCUGACCAGUUCCUCUGAACAGUUCCUCUGAACAGUUCCUCUGACCAGUUCCUCUGCGCUCCUGCAGCUCUACAGUCUGGCGUCUCGCUCCAGCAGCCUGAGCGGCCAUAAGGUUCAGUUCGUGGCGUUCCCGGCGGCUCUCGCCUUCAGACACAAGUUCAUCUACAGGAGCCCGGAGCUGCCAAACAUCCUCAGUGACUUCCUGGGAGCAGCUCACCCCGCUGUGGCGUGACGACGGCUCUUCUUCAUGGUUUGAACAUUCCUGUUAGCAUUCCCAACAUCCCAGCUGACGGUACGGCUACCACGGUUACCACUGCUACCACUGUUACCAUGGUUACCACAGUGACCGUGUCCCCUGGGCUGCAGAGCAGAGGUUUUGUUUCUCACCUGCAUGGUUCACUCCUCCUCACCAUCGGCAGGAAACUGUUUCCUGUUCUGACUUGAAAUAUGAAUUAAAUCUGGUUUUAUGUAGCUGAGCCUCCUUCACUGACCUCUGGGUGGUUCUGGUUCUGGUCGAACCGGACCUCAUCACUCCUACUCCUCCAGAUGUUCAGCAGAUUCUCUCCUCUCAACAGUUCUGGUUCUGCAGGUUUGAAGAAGCCGGUCCGGUUCUGGUACCGAUUGCGCACCAACAGGAAACAGGAAGUGAUGUCACUCUUCCUGAAUGUCUCUAGCUGAUUAAGAAGCUAACCUGAACCCGACUGGUGCUGGUCUUCAGCUGUUUCUGACCAGCGGUGUGCAUGCUUAUGCUAAUCCACAAAUAGUGGAGCUAAUUGUUAGCUUAGCAUUUAUCCAUUAUGCUAACUUUGAAAAUAUUAGCACACUUAGUUUCCCUGAAAUUAAUUAUCAUCAAUUUACUGUUUUGGUAUCAGCUGCUAAAAAUUCUUCCUGUAGUUAAACGGAUAUUCGUCCUCUUAUUUUGAAGGGGUUGACACAAUUCUGUUUCCUUAUCUCACAUCUCUUUUUUUUUUUUGGCUCUAGCGGCCUUUAUUUGAUAGUUAAUUGACACGAAAGUGGGUAAUGAGAGAAAGGGGAAGACAUGAAUCAAAGGUCACCAAAGCCAGGAAUCGAACCUGCGACAGCUGCAUCGAGGACUAAGGCCUCCAUAUGUGGAUUGUGCUUAACCCCUGCGCCACCACCGUACACUCACAUCUCUUGUUUUUAAGGAACUUUAUUGAGCAAACAGGAAGUAAACGAACAAAUCAAGAAUACAAUCAGGAUGUUUAACAAAUACGCUAGCUACUCGCAUUUUAGCUUCUGCUAAACGCCAUAUUGACGUAGCGAUUUAGCAUCAGCCGAACUAAUGUUCAUGACUGCUGCUUCAGGAUUAGCGCAGCUAGCUUUUUAGCUAGCAGUCUGGUACUACUACUGGUUUGGUGCGUUGGCCUUUAGACAACCUGACUGUUCUUCAUGCUGAAGCUCAGAACUUUUUCUGAUUUGGUCCCAAACGGACUCUGAAGGUUCUAAGCUGUCUGCUGCUACAGCAGAACCAGUACCAGUUUAAAACUGAACCUGGGCUGACCUCAGAGCUGGACUCUCCAGUGAACCUAUAAAACCUGACCAGAACCAGUCAGAUUUCAUGACAGGUCCACAGGUUCAUGAGUCCAGAACCUGUGGAGGCUCUGGACCUCAGUUUGACCCCAGAUUCUGGAGUCAAACUAAGCAGAACCACACAGAACCUUUGUUCUAGUCUAAAAAGUCAUUGUAUUCUAUUGGACCAAUCAGAACAUGUUGGCGGUUCUGGAGAGUUCUUCCUCUCACUGUCACCAACAGCGGUUCUGGCCGGUUCGGAUUUAAAUUGUGCACUGAUGCAUUCUGGGAAAACCAGACUACAAAAUGUGACAAUGCCCUGGUUUGUGUUCAGUUUAUUUUAUUAUUUCAACAAAAUUAUAAGCAGGAACAGAGAGGAGCAAAGUUCAGCUGAGCGGUUCUGAUCCGUCUGGAGGGAACUCCACCGUCUCUGGAUCUAGGUUCUCUGUGAAAAUGGGUCAACGUAUCAGAACUGAAAGACAAUCUCUGAUUGGCCAGUUUCCAGUCAUUUUCAGGCUUGAAACUUUAGAAAUGUAAUAAAUGUUUGUUUCAUAAUC